rnacentral:tRNA from 1 species
GCCGGAAUAGCUCAGACGGCUUAGAGCAGCGCAUUCGUAAUGCGAAGGUCGGGGGUUCGAUUCCUCUUUCCGGCA